rnacentral:rRNA from 1 species
GACGAACGCUGGCGGCAUGCCUAAUACAUGCAAGUCGAGCGAACAGAUGAAGUGCUUGCACUUCUGACGUUAGCGGCGAACGGGUGAGUAACACGUAAGGAAUCUACCUAUAAGCGGGGGAUAACAUUCGGAAACGGGUGCUAAUACCGCAUAAUAUCUUCUUCCGCAUGGAAGAAGAUUGAAAGACGGCUCUGCUGUCACUUAUAGAUGACCUUGCGGUGCAUUAGUUAGUUGGUGGGGUAACGGCCUACCAAGCCGAUGAUGCAUAUCCGACGUGAGAGUGUGAGCGGCACCAUUGUGACUGGGACACGGCCCAAACUCCGACGGGAGGCAGCAGUAGGGAAUCUUCCGCAGUGGGCGAAAGCCUUACGGAGCAAUGCUGCGUCAGUGAAGAAGACCUUCGAGUCGUAAAACUCUGUUAUAAGAGAAGAACAAAUUGUAGAGUAACUUCUACAGUCUUGACGGUAUCUUAUCAAAAAGCCACGGCUAACUACGUGCCAGCCGCCGCCGUAA